rnacentral:tRNA from 1 species
GGAUGGGUGGCCGAGUGGUCGAAGGCGCACGCCUGGAAAGUGUGUAUACGGUAACCCCGUAUCGUGGGUUCGAAUCCCACCCCAUCCGCCA